CUCUUCCAGUUUCAUCUUUUUCAGCAGCAUAUCCUGGAACAUCCGGUGGAACCGCCGGUGCUCAUCCUCUGACUCUCGAAGCCUCCUCCUUAAGACCUCAGACUCUGCCUCAGCAUCCUUGACUGCCUGCUGCUCGUGGACUAGCUGAACCUUCAGCCGCCAUAAUUCGGCUUCCUCCCACCCAAGGGCUAUAGACAGUUCCACCAUAGUCCCCCUCAAGGAGC
rnacentral:lncRNA from 1 species